CCGAGUUCAAUCCCCAACACUAGGGAUUAAAAACAUAUGAGGAAACAUGCAAAUGGUACCAAGAGAGUCUUAUUCAAGAAAUUUUGACUCUCACAGACUAACCUUGUAAAAAUCAAAGUUUGUCAACUCCUCCCAAUACCUGGGCUAAAUUUGAAAUGCCAUUGCUGGACAGAAAUCAGCUGCUAAUUACCACUAGCGACAACACUCGGACAGGUACAAGUGCAAAAGGAAGUCCCUUAAGGUCUGUACUGCCAGCUAUUGACAUCACAACUAGAGCCAGGCCCUAGGGCAUAAAGGCUUGGUGUGCAUUUAUCCUGGGCUGAGUUGGUGCCACUCCCGUGCCUUCAGCAGUCCUGGAUUGCACAUCCCUCUUAGUUAACUCAGCACACAAGGAAUACCUCCCUCCCCACCACUCAACCUAUAGGCCUGGGCCUGGCUCUUGUUGGCCCACAAUAGACCGGAUGGUCUGUGCACAGAUGGAGGGAACCACUUCAUAGGCUAUGCAAGUGUCAUGCGCAUCUAUGCAGUGCUCAAGAGAAGAGCCAGUGGCAGGCAGGAAAAGUGAGAUCUUGGACUAAGAGCAGGAAAAGGGUGGUUUCCUAAGGAAAACAUCUGUAGGCACAAGAGGCAUGGCUCCAGGAAGAUGCGGCCGUCUGCAGUGGAAAGGGUUGACCUCACAAGGAAUGCAAGUCCUAACUCGUGUCAGGCGCCAAACCCCACAAUCCAGCCUGCAGAAGCUUUUCACGACAGGGAAGCAAAGUGUGCAUUGCCUCUCCUCCAGCAGCAAAUGAUAACCACCUAAAAUUAUUUGCCUGUGCAAAUAUUUAUUACCAACCUUUUGAGAUUGGUUCUGAGCCCAGUAUCUUACGAAAUACAUCUAAAGAUGACAAAUAGGCUAUUGAUACUCGAAAAAAUGAAUCCAGAACAAAAAUUGGAAAAUUAUGAAAUUCA